rnacentral:rRNA from 1 species
UACGGAGGGUGCAAGCGUUAAUCGGAAUUACUGGGCGUAAAGAGCGCGCAGGUGGUUGAUUAAGUCUGAUGUGAAAGCCCACGGCUUAACCGUGGAGGGUCAUUGGAAACUGGUCGACUUGAGUGCAGAAGAGGGAAGUGGAAUUCCAUGUGUAGCGGUGAAAUGCGUAGAGAUAUGGAGGAACACCAGUGGCGAAGGCGGCUUCCUGGUCUGUAACUGACACUGAGGCGCGAAAGCGUGGGGAGCAAACAGGAUUAGAUACCCGGGUA